rnacentral:rRNA from 1 species
UACAGGGGGGUGCAAACGUUGCUCGGGAAUCAUUGGGCGUAAAGCGCACGUAGGCGGUUCGUUAUGUCGGAUGUGAAAGCCCCGGGCUCAACCUGGAAAUUGCAUUCGAGACUGCAUAGCUAGGGUGCGGAAGAGGGAAGCGGAAUUUCCGGUGUAGCGGUGAAAAUGCGUAGAUAUCGGAAGGAACACCAGUGGCGAAAGCGCU